CACGGGUGAGUAACACGUAUCCAACCUGCCUCAUACUCGGGGAUAGCCUUUCGAAAGAAAGAUUAAUACCCGAUGUCAUAGUCCUACCGCAUGAUGGGAUUAUUAAAGAAUUUCGGUAUGGGAUGGGGAUGCGUUCCAUUAGUUAGUUGGCGGGGUAACGGCCCACCAAGACAACGAUGGAUAGGGGUUCUGAGAGGAAGGUCCCCCACAUUGGAACUGAGACACGGUCCAAACUCCUACGGGAGGCAGCAGUGAGGAAUAUUGGUCAAUGGACGAGAGUCUGAACCAGCCAAGUAGCGUGAAGGAUGACUGCCCUAUGGGUUGUAAACUUCUUUUAUAUGGGAAUAAAAUGUUCCACGUGUGGGAUUUUGUAUGUACCAUAUGAAUAAGGAUCGGCUAACUCCGUGCCAGCAGCCGCGGUAAUACGGAGGAUCCGAGCGUUAUCCGGAUUUAUUGGGUUUAAAGGGAGCGUAGGUGGAUUGUUAAGUCAGUUGUGAAAGUUUGCGGCUCAACCGUAAAAUUGCAGUUGAAACUGGCAGUCUUGAGUACAGUAGAGGUGGGCGGAAUUCGUGGUGUAGCGGUGAAAUGCUUAGAUAUCACGAAGAACUCCGAUUGCGAAGGCAGCUCACUGGACUGCAACUGACACUGAGGCUCGAAAGUGUGGGUAUCAAACAGGAUUAGAUACCCUGGUAGU
rnacentral:rRNA from 1 species